UGCUGGUGGGAACUUCCUCAGGACCCACCACACUAGGUUCCUGUCAGCAAGCUCCUCUUGGCCACAGCAACAGUGUCAGGUUUGGUGUCUGCAGAUAUGAUGGAUCCCCAGAUGGGGUAGUCCCUGGUUGGCCCUUCCUUCAGGCUCUGUUCCAUUUUUUUGUCCCUGUUCUUCCUUUGGACAAGAACAUUUCUGUGUUAAAAACUUUGAGAUGGGUGGGUGUCCCCAUCCCUAUCUGCUGGAGGAGGUCUCUAUAAGAUCUGUCUCCCACUUCUCUGUGCAUUUUAGCUAAAGUCAUCCCCGUUGGGAGCUGGGGUCCACAUGGUUCCCUGGUGUCUGGAACCCUCCGGUGGCCGUCCCCAGUUCCUCCCGCUACAUAUUUUUGUUCAAUUUCCUGACCCUCUGUACCUCUCUAGUUCCUGAUACUACCCCCUUAUUUCUCCCCCACCUCUCUCCCUCCCAGGUCUCCCUCUCCUUCCACUUCCCUCGAUCAUCCUGUUCCUCCCCAAUGUAGGACUGAAGUAGCCACUCCCUGGUCUUUCUUCCUCCUAAGCUCCAUAUGGUCUGUGGGUUGUAUCAUGGGCAUUGUGAGGUUUUGGGCUAAUAUCCUCUUGGCACUAAGUAUAUGCCAUGUGUGCUCUUUUGUGUCUGUGUUACCUCAUUCAGGAUGAUAUUUUCUAGUUCUAUCCAUUUGCCUGUGAAUUUCAUGAGAUCAUUGGUUUUUUUUUUUUUUCUCUUUCUUUUUUUCGGAGCUAGGGACUGAACCCAGGGCCUUGCGUUUGCUAGGCAAGUGCUCUACCACUGAGCUAAAUCCCCAACCCCGAGAUCAUUGUUUUUAAUAGCUGAGUAGUACUCCAUUGUAUAAAUGUACCACAUUUUCUGUAUCCAUUCUCCUUUUGAGGACAUCUGGGUUCUUUCCAGCUUCUGGCUAUUAUAAAUAAGGCUGCUAUGAACAUAGUGGAGCAUGUGUCCUUGUUAUAUGUUGGAGCAUUUUUGGGGUAUAUGCCCAGGAAUGGUAUAACUGGGUCUUCAGGUAGAGCUAUUUCCAAUUUGGUUUUGCCAGCUUGCAGUCCCACCAGCAGUGGAGGAGUGUUCCUCUUUCUCCACAUCCUCACCAGCAUCUGCUGUCACCUGAGUUUUUGAUCUUAGCCAUUCUGACUGGUGUGAGGUGGAAUCUCAGGGUCGUUUUGAUUUGCAUUUCCCUGAUGACUAAGGAUGUUGAACAUUUCUUUAAGUGCUUCUCAGCCAUUCCAGACUUCGUGGUUGAGAAUUCUCUAUUUAGUUCUGUACUUCACUUUUUAAUCGGGUUUUUUGGUUCUCUGGAGUCUACCUUCUUGGGUUCUCUGUAUGUUUUGGAUAUUAGCCAUCUGUCAGACUUCUUUUUGCUUCUUACGCAUAUGUCUUCAUACUGACUUUUUUAUUAGUUUGAGUUUUAGGCUACAUCUGUUUCUUAUUUAUUGAUUAAUUUUGUAUAUAUGUGUGUGUUCAUGUGGCCUGCACUCAAAUGCCAUGGCAAACAUGUGAAGGUCAGAAGACAACUUGUGGGGAGUUCAUUCUUCCACUAUGUGGGCUCUUGGGAAUCAAACUCGGGUUGCCAAGCUUAGCAGCAAGCUCCCUCACCCACUGAGCCCUCUCACUGACCCUAUGUCUUUAUAUUUAGUUUUACUCUCUGAGCGAAUAUCUUUAAAUACUUUAAGAUUUAUUUCAUGUGUACCAGUGUUUGCCUGCAUGUAUACAUGUGUAUCACGUGCAAACCUUGUGGCCAUAAACAUAAGAAGAGGACAUUGGACCUCCUGAAGCUAAAGUUACAGAUGGUUUGAACCAUCAUGUGGGUGCUAGGAACCAAACUUACGCAAGUGCUCUUAACAGCUGAGCCAUCUUUCCAGCCCUGGGAGAGCAUCUUAACUUUAUUUUGUAAUCCAUAUUUUUGUGUUUUCAAGACUUAGUAUUUCUAUUUUAAGUCUUCACUGCCGUUUGCAUCCUCUUCUUUCCGUAAGCCUCCUUCUAAUGGCGGGACAGAUGGCCUUUCACACGAUUGUUGCUAUGGGUGACAGCCAUUUUGAAUUAUUCUGUUUUAUGUUUAUUUCCUCCUUGAUUAUAUUUCUCUCUUCACUAGCCUCCUACGUUCAUUGGGAGGCUUUCUGUGAGUACCUAGUGAUCUUUUCCUGUCUCUGUGUAUUGGCCCUAAACACCGAGUGAGCCGUGGCGCUUUGUGGACCGCUCGGCGCUUGCAGAUCAUCCCGGGCGGUGUUUCCAAGGGGCCCUCUCUGUCUCAGAAUGUAGAACCCUUGUGCUCUGGGCUCUUGAGUUUCCGUAGGUACAGUUUCUGUCAGGAGGUGAGGUCUCCAGGCUGCAUCUUCUCCGUGGGAGGAUGUGGGGAAGAACUAACCCUUCGCACUGUCGUUUACCCAUCAGUGUCUCAGGGACCAGUGGCUUCUCCGGGAUUGUGCUGAGAAAGUUGGCUCUGCUGUGUCCGUGUUCACCUUUGUUCCGGUUAAGCAGAGGGUUUUGUUUUGCUUUAUUACUUCUCUUCAACGGCUUCCAUUUCCACAGACUCACUGCUAACCCUACUCACUGUUAACUAUAAAAUGUCGUUAAGAGCAGAGGACGACUUCAGUUCUAAAGUGACACGGCAUAACAAUGUAUGGCUGCAGACUGCCUUGUGAUUCUCCCAGGUCUUCAACAAACAAAAUGCCUUACGAAGGGCUAAAUUAUUUUAAAACAACCACCCAUAUUUUAAGAGCCAAGAAACAAAACAGUCUACUUCCUCCACAUCCUCCCGAUUCUGAACUGGUGAUGACAUAGUCAAUGGGUGACUAGAAAGAAAAACAGAAAUUAAAUACAUUUUGGACAUCAA